CCUACGGGCGGCAGCAGUGAGGAAUAUUGGUCAAUGGGCGCGAGCCUGAACCAGCCAAGCAGCGUGAAGGAUGACUGCCCUACGGGUUGUAAACUUCUUUUAUAAAGGAAUAAAGUGAGGCACGUGUGCCUUUUUGUAUGUACUUUAUGUAUAAGGAUCGGCUAACUCCGUGCCAGCAGCCGCGGUAAUACGGAGGAUCCGAGCGUUAUCCGGAUUUAUUGGGGUUAAAGGGAGCGUAGAUGGGUUGUUAAGUCAGUUGUGAAAGUUUGCGGCUCAACCGUAAAAUUGCAAUUGAUACUGGCAGCCUUGAGUACAGUUGAGGUAAGCGGAAUUCGAGGUGUAGCGGUGAAAUGCUUAGAUAUCACGAAGAACACCGAUUGCGAAGGCAGCUUACUAAACUGCCACUGACAUUGAUGCUCGAAAGUGUGGGUAUCAAACAGGAUUAGAUACCCUUGUAGUC
rnacentral:rRNA from 1 species